AAAGUCGUAACAAGGUUUCCGUAGGUGAACCUGCGGAAGGAUCAUUACCGUGCCGUGACGGUUCGGCCCCUAUUUGGGGUCGGCCGCCCACCUGGCCAUCCGUGUUUACUGUACCUGUUGCUUCGGCGGGCCUGCGGGCUUGCUCGCUGCCGGGGGACUUUAGUUCUCGGGCUCGUGCCCGCCGAAGACGCCUACAAACUCUUAAAGAUUGAUGUCUGAGCAAUUGAUUAAUUAGUUAAAACUUUCAACAACGGAUCUCUUGGUUCCC
rnacentral:misc_RNA from 1 species